GAUGAACGCUAGCUACAGGCUUAACACAUGCAAGUCGCGGGGCAGCAUGGGGGUUGCUUGCAACCCCUGAUGGCGACCGGCGCACGGGUGAGUAACGCGUAUCCAACCUGCCCUUCACCACGGGAUAACCCGGCGAAAGUCGGACUAAUACCGUAUGUUGUCCAUUGACGGCAUCCGAUUUGGACGAAGGGCUUGGCGGUGAAAGGAUGGGGAUGCGUCCGAUUAGCUUGACGGCGGGGUACCGGCCCACCGUGGCUACGAUCGGUAGGGGGUCUGAGAGGAAGGUCCCCCACACUGGAACUGAGACACGGUCCAGACUCCUACGGGAGGCAGCAGUGAGGAAUAUUGGUCAAUGGGCGUAAGCCUGAACCAGCCAAGUAGCGUGCAGGAUGACGGCCCUAUGGGUUGUAAACUGCUUUUAUGCGGGGAUAAAGUGGCCCACGUGUGGGCUUUUGCAGGUACCGCAUGAAUAAGGACCGGCUAAUUCCGUG
rnacentral:rRNA from 1 species